UAUUCUAUUAAUCUGUUACAGUGUAUUAACAGUUUUCUAUUGUUCACAGUGUAAGUUGGCGUUGUGCAUCUGUGGUAUUCACUUUAACAUUUAUCUAUUGUGCGUAGCAUCUAUAGUACUUCAUUUAACAGUUAUCUAUUGUUCGCAUCAAUUGACGUUAUGCAUCUAUGAUUAUUUCACAUAUGUCAAAUAUGAUCUGUCAUGUAAAAUUGAGGCUUGUCAUCCUAUUAUAAUUGGACUGUUUUACUUACUUUUUGGUCUGUUUUUAGGUGUUCUUAAUCCCUUUUUUAAUUGAUAGUGUAAUUAAUAAAGUUUUUUGUCCAUUUCUGCAGAUUAUCUAAGAAAAGAGAGACUUAAAGUCAGCUUGGUCAUACUGAAACAAGCAUUGUCUAGAUGGGCUUCAUCUUUCCUGGACUAUAUUCUUGUUUUGCUACUUUGUCCUCACCUUGAACCAUUAUGCAGUCAAUUUUCAACCGACGAGUGAGAGCAACUGGAGGUUUCUUUGAGUUCUUUUGAAACAACAAAUUUUCUGCUAUGGUAUUCCUCCUGGAUUUGGUUUGCUUUUCAGACAUGCAAAUUUUGGAAUAUUACAGUCUACACUUAAUUAAGAUUGUCCAUGAAAAGGAAUUCAGUUAAUUUUCGAUGCUAAUGGAGCAACUGAUGCUUUUGAUGUAAGGGAGAGAACUGGAAAUUAAUUUGGAAACCACCCAAGCAACAGAUUGUCUGCAGUGGUACUCUCCUAGAUUUGGCUUGCGCAUUCCACAUUCGACCGCUACUUCACUUAAGAUUAUCUAAGAAAAGAGAGACUUAAAGUCAGCUUGGUCAUACUGAAACAAGCAUUGUCUAGAUGGGCUUCAUCUUUCCUGGACUAUAUUCUUGUUUUGCUACUUUGUCCUCACCUUGAACCAUUAUGCAGUCAAUUUUCAACCGACGAGUGAGAGCAACUGGAGGUUUCUUUGAGUUCUUUUGAAACAACAAAUUUUCUGCUAUGGUAUUCCUCCUGGAUUUGGUUUGCUUUUCAGACAUGCAAAUUUUGGAAUAUUACAGUGUACACUUAAUUAAGAUCGACGUUGGAGAAGACAAAGAUGACCCCAUAGUUGAA
rnacentral:lncRNA from 1 species